UGUAUUCUCCGUAAGGCCCUGUUUUGCAGAUGUGACCGGCUGAUUAGCCAUCACGCCAUACAGCUGUGGGGGAACUAAUGAUUGGUUUGGCCGUUGCAGCAGGGGGUUCAAAUUGAUUGACGGACGUAGCUCCACUAUACUCCUGAACACUCCUGGACAGUGUUCUGUGGCUGCAGUGCAGAGUCUGCUGACGGUGUCUCUGCUUAUCGGCGGCGUCAGGGUCGGACAUCCGAGGGGAAACCCUCUGUUGAGAGGCAGGAUUGUUAACAUUCUUAGGGUGAAAGUCCCUAGGUGGUGUUGUCGGUUCCAUGUUGAAAGAAACCAGAAGACCUUCACCAGUCCUAACUUGGUUACACAUACAUUCAAUUUCCUACACUCAGCAGAACAGAUUUCUGUUUAAGUAGCAC
ensembl:lncRNA